AGCAACAUCAAACUGAUCAAACUGUCACAGCUGGACGUGGACAUGAUGUUACUCUGCCUUGUAAAAAUGUGAUACAAGGUCAGCAUAACUGUAUCAGUACUACCUGGCUCUUCAGUGAUUCAAGCAGCACAGUAUCAAUCUUUGAAUUUGGGCAGAAUAAAGAAGCCAAACGUAAAUCAGACAGACUGAGUGUUUCUGCAGACUGUUCUCUGGUUAUAAAGAAGGUCACAGAUCAGGAUGUUGGUCGUUACACCUGCAGACAGUUCAAAACAAGAGGAGGAUCACAAGAAGGUCCAGACUUUAUUAUUGAUCUGUCUGUUAUUAACAGUGAAGAUGUGAAAACAACUAAAUCGACAACAGUGAAGUCCACCACAAAAACAUCAUCAACAACGUCAGAAGGGACAUCAAAUAAUCCAUCAGUAGGCUGAAGCCGAUGAUGAAGUUUCCUACGCCUCCAUCAGCUUCACAAAGAAAACCAAGAGUAAAGACCGGCCUCGCGUUGAUGAUGAUGGUGAGACUAUGACCUACAGCACUGUGAAGACUUUCUCUCCACCUGCUGGAGUUUCCACUGAUUCCAGCGACCUCUAUUCCACCAUCAACAAACCAAAGACAUAGUAUGUUGGUCAUGAAAGGCUGCAUGUUGUUUUUCUUGAUGCUGCAUCAAUGUUUCAAUUGUAAAUUUCUUUACAUUUUUCAAAUUAAAAUGUAAUAUUUGUGUGUAAUAUAUAGGUAAGCACUUUUUUGAAAGCUUAACUCAAGUCAGUACAGACAAGGUAGUUUAUUUAGCUUCUGAAUUAAGUCAUGUGAGAUGUUUUUAAGUAAACAACUUACAUGUUGUUUUCUUAAGCACAUUAGUAGAUCUAAAUCUUUCCAUUCCUUAAUUUUAAAUUUUUUUUAAUGCCUUAAACAUAUUCUCAUCAUCAUCUAUGACAGUAUUACAUUACACACCAAGCACGAUAGGUUGUUGCGAAAA
ensembl:lncRNA